rnacentral:lncRNA from 1 species
AAAAAGGCUACUCCUAGUAGAAGUGGUAGAAUUAUUCCAAGUAUUUCCGCUGGAACAGCUAUGUACAUUUUAGAUUUUCUAUUCACUCAUGAUCUGGCCUGGUCGACCCGAUCAUGAUAUUUCACUCAUGAUCUGGCCUGGUCGACCCAAUCAUGAUAUUGAAGGAUGGGACCUUUUCUCGAAAAACUCUGGAUCCCGAGAAGAGUUGAAGAUGGUGCAAGAUCGAAUCCUCUUACGUUACUUCGAAUGGAAUCUUAGCCCGCCUCACUUGCUUUCUUUACUGCAUAAGGGCAUAAGCGAAGUCAAGGUCCUUCUAACUAGUGGCUGAGAGUAAGCAAGCUACCUUCAUUCAACAUAUUUGUGGUUGAGUCAAUAACAUGCUCUGGGUCGGGAAUCUUUGCUCUUCUCUUUUGCAUUUCCGCUGCCUGCGUUCUUCUUCGUGUCCGUCCGUAUCGCAAAGCUGGUCGACGCCAGCUGUAAUGGUUGAAAAUAGGGGGCCAACCAAGACCCCCUAAUAAAGCUUUGUUCGAUAAAGCAAACGAUUCGUUCCGACAACUUCGGACCAGAUUAAUCCCUUUGAAUUAGCCGAUCUUACAAGAUCGAUCGGGCGGGCUGGUUGGGAAGGGGUGAUUUGCGGAGAAAGGAAUCGCUGAGAGAUAGAUUUGACUGUUUGGUCAGGAUGAAUGAAUGGCUGUGAAGUAUGCGUAGGAGGAGGUAAAACCCUUCCCCAAGUCAGUCCAGUCAGAAAGGGGAAAGCCCGCAGUCUAGACUGCAUUUCGGGAGUUUGAACACCAUCCCAUCUCAACCAAAAAGACAACCCUGUCAAAGAUAUCUCACCUUCCUUCCUUAUGAGUGGAAAUCCAAUCCUGUUUUGUCUUUUUUGCAUAAAAAGCAGCCAGCCGGUAAUAUAAUAUAUAAAUAUAUAUAUAUAUAUUUAAACUCGGUGCAUUUCUUCCGACCUUUUUUGAAAAGCGCAUAGUUUCUCCUCAAAAAAGGAUCUCUCCAGUCGGGGAACGCAUGAGAUAUUUACCUAAACCAGUAGGUCCUUGAGCGGAUCCCACGUUAGCCCCAAGACGUUGGUCUCUAACUAGAAAAGUAAAUGCUUGAGCUUGAGUGAGAAGGCCUCCUCGCUUAUUGACUUGAGCCACUGACCUUUAGAGCGAACCUAUAGGACAAAAGGAACUUCACUAACGGCACCUGAAAAUGAGCAAAGAGAAACUCUCAACUACUUGACUUCAGUCCCAGUACUGAAAGACGUAACUUCAGGAGUUGCCCUGAGAGAAUAGCAAAGCGUCGAAAGGCAGGGAGAGAGGGAGCUCUUACUACGGAUCUACCCUUCCUUAUGGCAGGAGGUUUCACUUCUCUUGUAUUCAAAUCCGGUUCAUCCCUCCGUUCAUUUAUUGGCUGGAGUUCCGGGCUUGUCGAGGUGGGUGGGCAUAGUUGAACAUAGCAUUUGCCGGAAAAGACGGGAGGAGCAAUGGACCCCCUCCUUUCACCUGCAUAAAAAAAAAACUUCAUGAUGUUGAUGGAGAGCUUCGCAGGGUUGACGAAGGAAUUGUCUUCUCUUCGUUGGAGGGACCUGCUUCGUCAAAUUCAGCAACGGGAGCCCGAGAGAGUUGAGCAGAACCAGAGGCGUCAGGAGCAUUGGAAGUCUCAUUCCUGACAAUCUCAUGCUGAUCCGUCGAUCUUGGAGAGCCAACUGGAGUUUGACCCUCAGUUGUAUUCCUCUCCCUAGGUCGAGCCUUUCUUUUUCUUCGGCAUUUACACCCUCUAUUUGAGUAAGGCUGGAAAGUAUCCUCCAACAUCAAAAUCAAUCUUCCGCCCUUUCUAUCUCUAUCUCUCUGUCAUGCUCUUCUUCUUCGCUUGAGGACUAGCAACGCCCUUUCCUUUACGCGAAUUUGGCUUUCCUUUUAUUUUCCUUUAUCCACACUCUGACCGAAGACAGAUCUUAAGGGAACUCUGUCCAUUUGAUCUGAGUCCUGAGCUUCUUCCAGAUUACUCUCUUCUGGAUUUUCUCCAGGUUCAGGCAAUCUUUCUGGUGCCGAAACUACCUGACCCCCUAUAGAAAAAGAUGCACCAAUCCCUUUGGCCUUACCUUAUGACCUUGGCCAACUUUCUUCAUCCCUCAAAUAUCCCCUCAAAUCAAAAAAGCAACUCACACAUCGUCAUUCUGAGGAAGAGCCCCUCCGCUUUCUUUGAGUGCUAUGGGGGUCUUCUUCCUUUGAUUAUUUGAAAUCCUCUGGUUGCCUUUUUCUCUGCCUUUUGUUCUCAGGCGCGAAGCCCUAUCGUUGACGAAUACUUCGUCAUCUGAAAACAACCGUUCUUCUCGUCUAUCACUCAACCUUCUUUAUCUUGCUUUUCUUCCAAGAUCUGUUGCAAACGAACUGAUCUGUCUUUAUGGCUUCUGGCCUACUCAACUGUGGCAGGAAGUAUAAUCAGUCCUUCCCUGCUAUAGGUCGGGAUGGCCACGUUCUCUCUCUCAAGGAUAUCAGUGUACUCC